CCUACGGGAGGCAGCAGUAGGGAAUCUUUCACAAUGGGCGAAAGCCUGAUGGAGCAACGCCGCGUGCAGGAUGACGGCCUUCGGGUUGUAAACUGCUUUUAUGUCCGAGAAAUAUGAUGGUAAGACAUGAAUAAGGACCGGCUACCAGCAGCCGCGGUAAU
rnacentral:rRNA from 1 species